rnacentral:rRNA from 1 species
GAAUAUUGGACAAUGGGCGCAAGCCUGAUCCAGCCAUGCCGCGUGAGUGAUGAAGGCCCUAGGGUUGUAAAGCUCUUUUGUGCGGGAAGAUAAUGACGGUACCGCAAGAAUAAGCCCCGGCUAACUUCGUGCCAGCAGCCGCGGUAAUACGAAGGGGGCUAGCGUUGCUCGGAAUCACUGGGCGUAAAGGGUGCGUAGGCGGGUCUUUAAGUCAGGGGUGAAAUCCUGGAGCUCAACUCCAGAACUGCCUUUGAUACUGAAGAUCUUGAGUUCGGGAGAGGUGAGUGGAACUGCGAGUGUAGAGGUGAAAUUCGUAGAUAUUCGCAAGAACACCAGUGGCGAAGGCGGCUCACUGGCCCGAUACUGACGCUGAGGCACGAAAGCGUGGGGAGCAAACAGG